GGAACUGCUGAGUCACGGCCUGAACCUCUGAUUGAUCACCUGAGGCAAGCAAUGAGUCAGCCCUGGGAGCACAGGUGAAGGCAAUUCACCUGUGCUGCUGGAAGGUGAGGAGCCAGGCUCCACCUCUCCUAGACCCAUUUAAAAGCUGACUGCCAGGGGGGAAGAAUCUCUAGAAGAGAAGAAGAUUUCCAGAAGAAACUCCUUUGGAGUUUCUUAAGACUGGGAUAAGGCUUCCUUGCGGAGCCAGAUGCUCCUGUUGAGACCAACUGCAUACUAGGCUACUCUACUACAAGCAUGGAUGGCAGGCCAAGAAAAAUGAUUUUUUUUUCCCCAUGAAUUUUACACUCAUAAAGCAGUGUUUUAAGUAUAGGCAGCUCUGUACCCUUUCAUUGAAGGAGAGAUGUCGACAACCUGAAGGAGGGGACCAUCGAGUGGUCUGAGGGCUGGAGCGUAUAACUUGCAAAGAAAGGUUGGCAGAGCUGAAUCUUUUCAGGAUGAAGGAAAGAAGGCCAAUGGGGGACAUAAAUGAUGCCUACUCAGCCUCCUGUGUGCUUGUAGAGAUUUUUCUCAGAGAUGCACACUGAUGGGACUAGGGACACCAGCUGUUGGAAAUCCACCUGGAUUUAAAAUAAAAUUUCUUUGUGUUGAGAGAGGUUAUAAACUGGAACAAUUUGCCUGGGAAGACUGGGAACUCCUUCAGAAGAGUAGGAGAGAGCUCUAAGCAGCCUGAUCCAGCUGUGAAAGGAGCCCUGCUCCUGUGGAUGAUGAUGACCUAGCUUUGCUCAGAAAAAGACUGGAGCAGGUAUGUAAAGACAAGGCAAUGGCCAGAAUACAGAAUUAAUCUAAACAAAAAGCUCUAAACAUCCUGCCUUUGAUGUUAAUAUGAUACUACUUUAUUCUUGACUCCUUCAUUCAUGACCCAGUGCUUGGUUAAAUCAUUGAUUUUAAGAUGGUUUUGUGUCAGUACUGUAGCAAGAGGUAAAUUGUUGAUGUCUGGGUAGUUCUCUGAUAAAAAUGAUUGAUUUUCUUUUCACGAUUGAAAUAGUCCAGAUGAAAAACAAUGUGGUGAGAUACACCUACCACGCUGUAAGUAGAACAGAAGUUCUUUAUUUGGUGUUCAGCAGCUGCAAACUGACUUAUUUCCCUUCUGUUAAAUGGAAGUUGAGAUGUAAAAAUAGACAUUGGUGUUUAUUGGAAGCUUAAAUCUGCUGAUGUUUUAUAGAUCUGGAAAGUUUUGAUUGCUGUGCAUUAAAACAACUGUCACAUUGUUGCAUAAAUUAAUCAGAAUGAUGCACUCUGCCACAA